UAGGAAUAUUGGACAAUGGGGGAAACCCUGAUCCAGCCAUGCCGCGUGUGUGAAGAAGGCCUUAGGGUUGUAAAGCACUUUCGGCUGUGAAGAUAAUGACAGUAGCAGAAGAAGAAGCUCCGGCUAAAUUCGUGCCAGCAGCCGCGGUAAUACGAAUGGAGCGAGCGUUGUUCGGAAUCACUGGGCGUAAAGGGUGCGCAGGCGGUCUUGAAAGUUAGAAGUGAAAGCCCCGGGCUUAACCCGGGAAUUGCUUUUAAAACUCCAAGACUAGAGUACUGGAGAGGUUGGCGGAAUUCCAAGUGUAGCAGUGAAAUGCGUAGAUAUUUGGAGGAACACCGAUGGCGUAGGCAGCCAACUGGACAGUAACUGACGCUCAUGCACGAAAGCGUGGGGAUCAAAC
rnacentral:rRNA from 1 species